GGGCCCGGCGGCCGUGCGAGGGGCCGGCCGGGUGCUGGGGAAGGCGGGGGGUGGCCUGAGGGGCGGGUGGAAAAUGCUGGAGCGCGGGCCCCCGGGGGCCCACGGGGAGGCGGAGGGCAGAAACGGGGGCCUUUGGAGCCGGCCUGAGCCGGAGUGCAAGCUCUGUCCCUCCGAGCUCAGGACUUGGCCCUUUGAGGUGCAAAGCGAGUGGCCCACAGAACUCCCGCUCUUGAGGAGGUCCGAGUCUGGGAGGGGAGAGAUUUGGAGAAACCGGUAAUUGCAGUGCAGAGAAGCAAAGCGAAAUAAAUAAGGGAAUUUCAGCUUCGUGAAGGCAGUGAUUUUUGUCCUCUUACUGUAUUCCCAGUGCCUGAAAUGUGGCUGGCAGGAAACUUUCAUCUUUGCCACGUGUGUACUGUGUGCACGCCGGCCUAAAUGUACGUCUGUGAGCAUACAUGCAGUGGAUCUUGAUGCAAAGUCACAGAUUCAAGACAAAGGAACACUGACGGCCCCCAGACCUGGGGAGGGAGGCUUCACCGGACGCGAAUGAGUGACUCUGAGCAAGAACCAGUUAGCUGAGCCUGAUCACCCGCUCGAACCAUGAAAGGGGAACCUUACCAGUAACAACUACACAUCCACUAGAAUGGCCGAAAUAUUUUGGAAAAAAAAAAUUGAAUCCUGGUUUUCAUGUUUUUGAAAUAUUACAGACUGGAAACAGACUCGCGCGUACAUGGCCAGUUGAUUUUUGACAAAGGCACGACAGCAAUUCAAUGGAGAGAGGAUAAUCAUUUCAACAAAUGGUGCUGGAACAACUGGACAGCCAUAUGAGAAAAUAAAAAGCAAGCAAAAGAGAGGAAAAAAAAAAGCCUUGAUUACCUGUACCUCACAACGUAUACAAAAGUUAACUCAAAAUGGAUCAUAGACCUAAAAGCAAAACUUAAAAUGCUCCCAGAAGGAAACAUACGAGAAAAUCAUUGUGACUUCAGGUUAGGCAAAAUUUUUCCUAGUUAUAGCUUCUUUAUCCAUGAGCUAUAAAAGAAGAAUAUGGUAAAUUAGAUUUCAUUGAAAUUAAAAACAUCUGAUUUUGAAAAGACAUGAAAAUGAAAAGACAAGCUACAGCCUGGGGGGAAAUAUUUAUAAAACACAUGUGAUAAAGAGCUUGUAUCCAGAGUACAAAGCAUCCUGAAAACUUCAUAAUAAGCAAACAAAUGACCCAGUUCAAAGUGGUCCAAAAAAUUGAACCAACCCUGCAGACAAGAAGAUAUAUGGAUGGCAAAUAAGCAUGUGAAAGGAUACGGAGCAUCAUAAGCUAUUAGAGAAAUGCAGAUUAAAAACCAAAAGGAGAGGGACUUCCCUGGUGGUCCAGUGGUUAAGAAUCUGCCUGUGUUCUUUUCUCCGCCAUCCUGUGUGGGAUAGAAUUUGCUUCUCGCCAAGUCCUCUCACGAGACUGUCAGUAUCAAGUGAUUCCUGGCCAAGACAGAAAGGCAGAACCAUCCCAUUCCCCAAUGGACUCGAAUGAAAACUGAUAAUAAAAUCAGGUCCAGCUCCAAGAGAAGACAGACAUCGGAGAAGAAUCAAGCUGGCUCUAUAGGGAGCCUCACAUGUGAAGUGGCACAUUUAUACUCCAUCAAGGUCACUUCCAUCUUAACCGAAUCACAGUGCUGAGAGCAUCACUACUGUCUGAACAGCUCAUGGGAGAAACGGAAUGUUUGGCUCAUGGUGUUUCCUGACUAGCGGUCCAUUUGGCUCAGGAAUAAAUAUGUGAAACCUUUUAUUGGAACUGUUAUUAUAUUAUUCUGGUUUGUGAUGAUGUACUGAACAAAUACCUCUCCUGUCAGGUAAAAAAAAAAAGAAUCUGCCUUGCAGUGCAGACGAUACAGGUGUUUGAUCCCUGGUUAGGCAACUAAGGUCCCACAUGCCUCAGAGCUAAGCCUCUACACUGCAACUACUGAAUGCCAUGCAGCACAAAUAGAGAAUCUGUGCAACACCAUGAAAGAUCCUGCAUGACGCAGUGAAGAUCCCAUAUGGCACAACUAAGACCCAAUACAGCCAAAUAAAUGAUAAAAUGAAAAAAAAAAGCAAAAUGAGAUACCACUAGACAUCUGUUACAAUGAUUUAACAAACAAGCUUGAUAAGACCAAGUGCUGGUGAAGAGGCAGAGCAACUAGAACUCAUGCAAAAUUGUACAGAAUAUUUGGAAAAUGGCUUGGCAGUUUCUUAUAAAAGUAAACAUGCACUCAUCAUGUGAUCCAGCAAUCCCAUUCUGAGUUGGCUACCCAGGAGAAAUAAAAACAUGUGUUCCCACAAAAACCAGCCCACCCAUGUUUAUAGCAGAUUUAUUCAUAAUUUCCCUUCCUGGAAGCAACCCAGAUGCACUGUAAUUGGGGAAUGGAUGAAUAAACUGGUACAUCCAUCCAGUGGAAUACGAUUCAGCAAUAACAAACUGUGGAAACACUCAAUAACAUCAAUGAACCUCACACACUUUAUGGUAAGUGGAUGAAAUCAAAGUCAAAAGGUGGGUACUGUAUGAUUACAGAUGUUGGGAGUAGGGUAAAGGAUUUGGUGCCUAUCAAGUAGCACCAAGGAAUUUUGGAAUGUGACAGAACUGUUCUGCAUUAUGAUUGUGACCGUGAUCACUCCACUGUAUGCAUUUACCACAACUCACAGAACUGUACACCAAGAAGAGUAAAAUUUACUGUGUGCAGAUAAACUAGACUGAAAGUAUUGAACCCAAAAGCCCUUUAUGUAAGUAGUAUCAUACUGCACGUAUCCUUCUACAGCUUGCUUUUUUUGCUUGCCCUUAAAUGCUUUAUACAGGUUGACACUGUGUAUGUAAUAAGGAUACAUGUAGCUCUUGUUCAUUCAUUUUAACUGCUAAUGAUAUUCUAUUAUGCAUUAUAUCUUAAUUUGUCUAUUUUUCUUAUUCUGGUGGACAUUUCUUUGUGUCUGUUUUUUCUUCCCUCUGUUUUAAGCAAUGGAGCAAUAAAGACUCCUGUAAACGUACUCUGGAGCACAGGUGCAGAGAUUUCUCUCUUGAAUAUUUACUGAAAAGACUAAAUUGGAUAGGAAUAAAGACUGUGAGCAUCUUCAUGUUGCUUUCCAAGGGCUUGUACCAACUGACUCUACCAACAGUGUAUGAGAAUUUCAUUCCUCUACAUCUUCAUCAGAAAUUGUAUUAUCAGACUUUAACUUCUGCUUAGCUGAUAAAUGUAAAAUGGUACCUCAUUGUUGUCUUAUUUUGCAUUUUCCCUGAUUACUAGGGAGGUUGAUUUAUAUGUUUGUUGGUCAAUUUGGGCUUUUUUCUUAUGUGAAUUGCCUCUUCAUUGUCUUUUUUUUUUUCCCUACUGUGUUAUACAUCUUUUUCUUCUUGAAAAAGUUUCUUUGUUUUUCCCUCUCAACCUCUUCCUGAUUGUAAUCCCUUAUUGGGUAGCAGAUAUCUUCUCAGUCUGUGGAUUUUUAAAAAAAAGCAAUUUGAUAGUGUCUUUUGUUGAUUAAAAUCUGUAAAUUUGUUAGUCUUUUUUUUGUUUAUCCUUUUUGUGUCUUUUCUAAGAAAUUUUGCUUCACCUCAAGGUCAUAAGAGAUAUUUUCCUGUAAACUAUAAAAAGUUUUGCUUUUCACAGGUAUGUCUUUAGUUCACUUGGAAUUGAUCUUUUUGUGUGUUGUAGAGCUCUAAUUAGGAGAAGGCAAUGGCAAUCCACUCCAGUACUCUUGCCUGGAAAAUCC